GACGAACGCUGGCGGCGUGCUUAACACAUGCAAGUCGAACGGAAAGGCCCUGCUUUUGUGGGGUGCUCGAGUGGCGAACGGGUGAGUAACACGUGAGUAACCUGCCCCUGACUUUGGGAUAACUUCAGGAAACUGGGGCUAAUACCGGAUAGGAGCUCCUGCUGCAUGGUGGGGGUUGGAAAGUUUCGGCGGUUGGGGAUGGACUCGCGGCUUAUCAGCUUGUUGGUGGGGUAGUGGCUUACCAAGGCUUUGACGGGUAGCCGGCCUGAGAGGGUGACCGGCCACAUUGGGACUGAGAUACGGACCAGACUCCUACGGGAGGCAGCAGUGGGGAAUAUUGCACAAUGGGCGGAAGCCUGAUGCAGCAACGCCGCGUGCGGGAUGACGGCCUUCGGGUUGUAAACCGCUUUCGCCUGUGACGAAGCGUGAGUGACGGUAAUGGGUAAAGAAGCACCGGCUAACUACGUG
rnacentral:rRNA from 1 species